AAGACCUUGCGCUUUUGGAGCGGCCGAUGCCUGAUUAGCUUGUUGGUAAGGUAAAAGCUUACCAAGGCUUCGAUCAGUAGCUGGUCUGAGAGGACGACCAGCCACACUGGGACUGAGACACGGCCCAGACUCCUACGGGAGGCAGCAGUGGGGAAUUUUGGACAAUGGGGGCAACCCUGAUCCAGCCAUGCCGCGUGAGUGAAGAAGGCCUUCGGGUUGUAAAGCUCUUUCAGCCGGAACGAAACGGUUACGGAUAACACCCGUGACUACUGACGGUACCGGAAGAAGAAGCACCGGCUAACUACGUGCCAGCAGCCGCGGUAAUACGUAGGGUGCGAGCGUUAAUCGGAAUUACUGGGCGUAAAGCGUGCGCAGGUGGUUUUGUAAGUCAGAUGUGAAAGCCCCGGGCUCAACCUGGAAACU
rnacentral:rRNA from 1 species